rnacentral:lncRNA from 1 species
UGAGCAGGUUCUCCAGGAUCUGGGGCAGCAGCCCCUUCCGCACUGAGGUCUUCACAAACUCGUCCCCGGUGGGGGUCCUGAUGAACUGAUCCUCAGUCAGGCUGGGUUGGAAGAUGUUGGGGUGACUGCCGGCCACCCUCCUGCUCCAGCCCACCUCUGCCCUACGGUCCUGGCCUUGGCCAUGAGCACACGCAGGCCCCUCAAGCACCCCUCCACUCCCUACUAUCUCUGGGCCUGUGCCUAUGCCCCCCACCAGACUGAGCCCCCCAAGGGAAGGCCCAGAUGGGCCUCGGGGGACACAUGCUGAAUUGGGCACUAUACCCCAGUUUCUGUGCAGUCCCGGGCCGAAGGAGCGUGGUGUAACACAGGUUGUGGGCCAUCAUGAUGGACGGGUACAGCGAGGAGAAGUCCAGGGUGGCGAUGGGGACGUCGUAGUACCUGGGAGGGGAGCAGCCGCGGCCGGGAGUCAGGGCUAGGAGUUCCCAUGCCGCCCCCGCCCUGUCUUGUGGCCUCACCCUUUAAAAAAAAAAAAUCAUUCAUUGGCUGGGAGCAGUGCUCGCUCCUGCAAUCCCAGCACAUUGGGAGGCUGAGGCAGGAGGAUCGCUUGAACUCAGGAGUUUCAGAUCAGCCUGGGCAACAUGGCAAAACCCUAUCUCUACAAAAAAAUUUUAAAAAUUAGCCAGGUGUGGUGGUGCACGCCUGUGGUCCCAGCUACUCAGGGGCCUGAGGCAGGAGGAUUGCUUGAGCCUAGGAGGUGGAGUAAGCCAAGAUCAUGCCACCGCACUCCACCCUGGGUGACAGAGUGAGACCCUGUGUCAAAAAAAGAAAAAGAAAAAGAAAAAUAAUAUAUAUAAUUAAUCUACUAUUUUAUUUUAUUUUAUUUUUUUUGAGACGGAGUCUCGCUUUGUCACCCAGGCUGGAGUGCAGUGGCGCAAUCUCAGCUCACUGCAACCUCCACCUCCCGGGUUCAAGCGAUUCUUCUGCCUCAGCCUCCCGAGUAGCUGGCACUGCAGGCGCCCGCCACCAUGCCCAGCUAAUUUCUGUAUUUUUAGUAGAGACGGGGUUUCACCGUGUUAGCCAGGAUGGUCCCAAUCUCCUGAACUUGUGAUCCGCCUGCCUUGACCUCCCAAAGUGCUGGGAUUGAUUACAGGGGUGAGCCACCGUGCCUGGCCUAUUAAUUUAUUUUAGGGCCGGGGUGUUGCUCUGUCGCCCAGGCUGGAGGGCAGUGGCGCAAUCAUCGCUCACUGCAGCCUCCACCUCCUGGGCUCAUCAUCCUCCCAGCUCAGCCUCCCAAGUAGCUGGGAUUACAGGCAUGCACCACCACGCCUGGCUAAUUUUUAAAAAUUUUUUCGGCCGGGCACGGUGGCUCACGCCUAUAAUCCCAGCACUUUGGGAGGCCGAGGCAGGUGGAUCACGAGGUCAGAUCGAGACCAUCCUGGCUAACACGGUGAAACCCCGUCCCUACUAAAAAUGCAAAAAAAAAAAAAAAAAAAAAAAUUAGCCAGGCGUGGUGGUGGGCGCCUGUAGUCCCAGCUGCUGUGGAGACUGAGGUAGGAGAAUGGCGUGAACCCGGGAGGCAAAGCUUGCAGUGAGCUGAGAUUGCGCCACUGCACUCCAGCCUGGGUGACAGAGCGAGACUCUGUCUCAAAAAAAUAAAAAUAAAAAUAAAUAAAAAUAAAAAAAUUUUGUGGAGCAGGGGCCUCGCUAUGUUGCCCUGGCUGGUCUCAAACUCCUGAGCUCAAGUGAUCCUCCCACCUCAGCCUCCCAGAGAUUACAGGUAAAAACUGCACCCAGCCUGGGGCCUCACCCUUUGAGGGGCUCGAUGACAGUGGCUCCCGUGUAGUCCUCGCCGCCCUCUGACUUCACCACGGGCAUCAGCAGCCCCUCGUGCAUGGCCUGGGAGGGGAGAAGGUGGGAAAUGGAGUGGGUAUAGGUGGGGCCGUGCGGAUUGGGAGUGGGGAGAAAAAGUGCAUCCAGGAUGCCAUUGCCUGGAGGGGGCCACAGACGUGCCUGGUGGGGGGUGGCGAGGACAAGUCUCGGCUACUGACCUGCCGCAACAGCUGGGAUACGACCUUGACCUGCUGGCCACGACUGAGCAGGUAGCUGAGGGGCACGCCAGUGACCCUCGCCAUCUCCACGGCGUUCACCAGCACCAUGAGCCGCUCCAGCAGCCGCAGUGGCAGGUAGGCAUCCUUCAGGCAGUACACAGCCAGGCGGCGGCGGGUCUGGUCGUUCCCAUUCUGGGGAUGGGCACGGAUGGGGUCAGGGACCAGGGGUUGGGGGUGGGAGGUGGAGCAGGAGAAGGAAGUGGGGGUCAGGGUGAGGUAGCCUGGGGAGGGCCUGGGAGGUGAGGCGGGCAGGAGGGCCCUCCAAGUCGUCAGGGUCUGGGUGGGGAUGGAGGUAGGGUUGGGGGCCAGGGAGUCCACAGGGCCAGAGGGAGGAGGAGGGAGCAGCCUGAAGGCCACCGUGGACCUGUGGUCAGGCCAGGAAAGCAGAGACAAGGUCAUAGUGACAGAGGUCACAGGAGUGGAGAGAAAUCUGGGGUCAGAGGUCAGGAAAAAGUGGGCGUCAGGUAAGGUCACAGGUCAUAACAGCAGGUCAAAGAGUGAGGUCAGACGUGGGGGCGUGAAGUUGAGGUCAGAGGCCGGGGAAGGGUGAGGUGGAGGUCAGAGGUUGGGGUGAGAGGUCAGGGAGGCAGCAGGCACCUGCAGGUCGGUGAUGAUGCUGUGCUGCACGUCCUCCUUCUGCUCGCCCAGGAAGUGGAAGCUCACGGCAUUGAGCGUGUAGGAGCGGAGCUUGUACUCCCGCAGCAGCACCUAGGUGGGUGGGUGGGCUGGUGGGCUGCGGGCCUGGGCAGUGGCCUUCCAAGGACAGGGACACACCCCACCUCCCGCCCAUACCUGCAGCAUGUCCAUCUGCACGCGGCCCACCAUGCUGACAACCUUGGUGUCCCGCCGGCCCGUCUGCUUGGACUGGAAUGAAGAGUCCCGGAUGU